GAUGAACGCUGGCGGCGUGCUUAACACAUGCAAGUCGAACGGGAUCCACCGGGCUUUGCUUGGUGGUGAGAGUGGCGAACGGGUGAGUAAUGCGUGACCGACCUGCCCCAUACACCGGAAUAGCUCCUGGAAACGGGUGGUAAUGCCGGAUGCUCCAGUUGAUCGCAUGGUCUUCUGGGAAAGCUUUCGCGGUAUGGGAUGGGGUCGCGUCCUAUCAGCUUGACGGCGGGGUAACGGCCCACCGUGGCUUCGACGGGUAGCCGGCCUGAGAGGACGACCGGCCACAUUGGGACUGAGAUACGGCCCAGACUCCUACGGGAGGCAGCAGUGGGGAAUAUUGCACAAUGGGCGCAAGCCUGAUGCAGCGACGCCGCGUGAGGGAUGGAGGCCUUCGGGUUGUAAACCUCUUUUAUCGGGGAGCAAGCGAGAGUGAGU
rnacentral:rRNA from 1 species